GAUGAACGCUAGCUACAGGCUUAACACAUGCAAGUCGAGGGGUAACGAGAGGGAAGCUUGCUUUCCUUGUCGACGACCGGCGGAUGGGUGAGUAACGCGUAUCCAACCUGCCCUUCAGUAAGGGAUAGCCUUUCGAAAGAAAGAAUAAUACCUUAUGUGAUCGUUUGAUGACAUCAGACGACGGUCAAAGAUUUAUCGCUGAAGGAUGGGGAUGCGUCCCAUUAGGCAGUAGGCGGGGUAACGGCCCACCUAACCUAAGAUGGGUAGGGGUUCGGAGAGGAAGGUCCCCCGCAUUGGAACUGAGAAACGGUCCAAACUCCGACGGGAGGCAGCAGUGAGGAAUAUUGGUCAAUGGCCGUAAGGCUGAACCAGCCAAGUGGCGUGCAGGAUGACGGCCCUAUGGGUUGUAAACUGCUUUUAAACGGGGAUAAAGUGAGCCACGUGUGGUUUAUUGCAGGUACCGUUUGAAUAAGGACCGGCUAAUUCCGUGCCAGCAGCCGCCGUAAGAC
rnacentral:rRNA from 1 species